CGAUGCCAAGCUAUCUGGUCGUCAAGAAUGUAUCCAUCUCCGACUUUAAAAUAUCCAUUGACUUGGCCUCCACAGCCAUUUGUGGCAAAGAAUUCCAGAGAUUCACCACCCUCUGACUAAAGACAUUCUUCCUCAU